rnacentral:rRNA from 1 species
AUGCAAUUAUAUGUGCCAGCAGCUGCUGCAACACAAAAAAUGGCACAUAACAACGGGGGUGAUGUGGAUAUCACGAUGAGUGGUGUGGGGACAAACCAACAGGGUGAACAAGCACACACGGCAAGCUUUGGUUCUGCAAACAUCAACAAUACAAAUGAAGGAACGGGGGUCCCCAGACUUGCCUGCCUGUGGCCUGCGGCAUGGUUCAAGGAGUGGCCCAAUACAUCCCAUCUUCAUCAACUCAAGCUCAAGACUCUCGCGAGGGGCCAAGCCUCGCGGGGCGGACGGUGCAAGGCUUCCUCAGGAACGGCCUCACCAGGCAGGCUCGCGAGGAGGCGGAGAGAUCAAGGCAGGGGUACCUCGCAAGGUGCUCGUGACGCAAGCCAUGACGAUCGAGACCAGGCGGGCGCCGGCCUGUGCAGUGUCCUUGUUUCCUCUUUGGUGCAAAGGGGGCAAGCGCAGGUGCGGAGUACCGAGGCGUCAAGCAAAGGUUACCAUUUCAGUGCAACGAGACCAAGACCAGCAGAGCGGCAGGACGGAGGUCACCGUGGUGCCCAAGACGGUGUCAUCGCCAGUGCCUUUGGCAAUCGAAGACCAACUUUAGUCAGGAUAACUUGUACCAGAUGUUUCCCUUCAAAAUGGCCGUUGUUGGCUCCCUUCCCGCUCAAUAUUUGGAAGAGGACCAGGGCCUCCAUAUAA